UACGUAGGGCGCAAGCGUUGUCCGGAAUCAUUGGGCGUAAAGAGCGUGUAGGCGGUUCGGUAAGUCGGCUGUGAAAGUCCAGGGCUCAACCCUGGGAUGCCGGUCGAUACUGCCGGACUAGAGUUCGGAAGAGGCGAGUGGAAUUCCCGGUGUAGCGGUGAAGUGCGCAGAUAUCGGGAGGAACACCUAUGGCGAAGGCAGCUCGCUGGGACGUUACUGACGCUGAGACGCGAAAGCGUGGGGAGCAAACAGG
rnacentral:rRNA from 1 species